UACAGAGGUCCCAAGCGUUGUUCGGAUUCAUUGGGCGUAAAGGGUGCGUAGGCGGCGCGGGAAGUCGGGUGUGAAAUCUCGGAGCUUAACUCCGAAACUGCAUUCGAUACUGCCGUGCUUGAGGACUGGAGAGGAGACUGGAAUUUACGGUGUAGCGGUGAAAUGCGCAGAUAUCAGGAAGAACACCCGUGGCGAAGGCGGUUCUCUGGGACGGUACUGACGCUGAGACGCGAAAGCGUGGGGAGCGAACAGG
rnacentral:rRNA from 1 species